UGCUCCUGUGGCUAAGUGGUUAAAGCAUCCACCUUGGAUGCGGGAGAUCGUGGGUUCGAUCCCCAGUCAAGUCAU